UCCCUAUGGGGUGCAGCAGUCGCGAAAAUUUUGCAAUACACGAAAGUGUGACAGAGCUAUCCCGAGUGCCAUCCGCUGAGGAAGGCUUUUACCCAGUAUAAAUAGCUGGGAGAAUAAGGAGAGGGCAAGUCUGGUGUCAGCCGCCGCGGUAAUACCAGCUCUCCGAGUAGUGUGGACGUUUAUUGGGCCUAAAGCAUCCGUAGCUUGCUAGAUAAGUCCCCUGUUAAAUCCACCGAUUCAAUCGUUGGAUUGCGGGGGAUACUGUUUGGCUAGGGGACGGGAGAGGUCGACGGUAUUUCCGGGGUAGGGGUGAAAUCCUAUAAUCCCGGGAAGACCACCAGUGGCGAAGGCUGUCGACUAGAACGCGCCCGACGGUGAGGGAUGAAAGCUGGGGGAGCGAACCGGAUUAGAUACCCGGGUAGUCCCAGCUGUAAACGAUGCAGGCUAGGUGUUUGGGCGGCCACGAGCCGCCCUAGUGCCGCAGGGAAGCUGUUAAGCCUGCCGCCUGGGGAGUACGGCCGCAAGGCUGAAACUUAAAGGAAUUGGCGGGGGAGCACCACAAGGGGUGAAGCUUGCGGUUUAAUUGGAGUCAACGCCGGAA
rnacentral:rRNA from 1 species